rnacentral:rRNA from 1 species
UACGUAGGGUGCAAGCGUUAUCCGGAAUUAUUGGGCGUAAAGAGCUCGUAGGCGGUUUUGUCGCGUCUGCUGUGAAAACCCGAGGCUCAACCUCGGGCCUGCAGUGGGUACGGGCAGACUAGAGUGCGGUAGGGGAGAUUGGAAUUCCUGGUGUAGCGGUGGAAUGCGCAGAUAUCAGGAGGAACACCGAUGGCGAAGGCAGAUCUCUGGGCCGUAACUGACGCUGAGGAGCGAAAAGCGUGGGGGAGCGAACAGG